AGUGAACGCUGGCGGUAGGCCUAACACAUGCAAGUCGAACGGCAGCACAGUAAGAGCUUGCUCUUACGGGUGGCGAGUGGCGGACGGGUGAGGAAUACAUCGGAAUCUACUUUUUCGUGGGGGAUAACGUAGGGAAACUUACGCUAAUACCGCAUACGACCUACGGGUGAAAGCAGGGGAUCUUCGGACCUUGCGCGAUUGAAUGAGCCGAUGUCGGAUUAGCUAGUUGGCGGGGUAAAGGCCCACCAAGGCGACGAUCCGUAGCUGGUCUGAGAGGAUGAUCAGCCAAACUGGAACUGGGAACCGGGCCAGACUCCUACGGGAAGCAGGAGGGGGGAAUAUUGGACAAUGGGGGCAAGCCUGAUCCAGCCAUACCGGGUUGGUGAAAGAGGCCUUCGGGUUGGAAAACCCUUUUGGUGGGAAAGAAAAGCAGCAGGUUAAAACCCCGCUGUUCUGACGGUACCCAAAGAAUAAGCACCGGCUAACUUCGUG
rnacentral:rRNA from 1 species